AUUGAACGCUGGCGGCAGGCCUAACACAUGCAAGUCGAGCGGAUGAAGGGAGCUUGCUCCUGGAUUCAGCGGCGGACGGGUGAGUAAUGCCUAGGAAUCUGCCUGGUAGUGGGGGAUAACGUCCGGAAACGGGCGCUAAUACCGCAUACGUCCUGAGGGAGAAAGUGGGGGAUCUUCGGACCUCACGCUAUCAGAUGAGCCUAGGUCGGAUUAGCUAGUUGGUGGGGUAAAGGCCUACCAAGGCGACGAUCCGUAACUGGUCUGAGAGGAUGAUCAGUCACACUGGAACUGAGACACGGUCCAGACUCCUACGGGAGGCAGCAGUGGGGAAUAUUGGACAAUGGGCGAAAGCCUGAUCCAGCCAUGCCGCGUGGGUGAAGAAGGUCUUCGGAUUUUAAAGCACUUUAAGUUGGGAGGAAGGGCAGUAAGUUAAUACCUUGCUGUUUUGACGUUACCAACAGAAUAAGCACCGGCUAACUUCGUG
rnacentral:rRNA from 1 species